UGCAGGGGUUGCAGCAGAGCUUCUUCAGCUUGAAGAAGCUGAAGCGAUGAGCGUUUCUGAGCCACCUGGUGAGAUUUCUUUUCUUAGAAAUUGCGUUGGACUGCCGCUUGACAGCCUCCAUUUCUUCGCAAUGAGCUCGGCACCAGUGCUGCUGCUGGGCUCCCACAUGGCUUCUUGGAAGUGCUGAGACUGAGCGUGACCCUGGGACAGCGUGACACUCAGUGCCCUGAGAGGGCUUUUCGGGUGCUUCAGCCCCUCCCGCUUGCAGCACGGGAGUGUGUAUUUCCUCCCUUCCUUUGUGUAACUUCAGGUGUGUCAUCUCACUUGCAUUGUGGAGACAAGGCGGGACAGCUUUCAAAACUGGAAUGCUGUUUUGGAUGGCAGGCUGUAUUUCUCUGAAAAGGAGACCAGCAACUAUGGCAGCAUUUGGUGAGAGAACCGGGAGCAAUGAAGAAUCGCUGGAGCGCAGGGGAGGAAGGAGCAUGUGGUAGGAAGUUCCAGCGAUGCAUCAAGGACAACUUCUGCUGCAGAAGAUGGAGGACCACUGCCAGAGCUCAUCCUCCUUACUGAGGAAAGGCCAGUUGGGGACUGAAGGGCCAUGGGCAGCCAGGAGAGCGGCAGCUGUGUGGCAGAGGAGAAAGGAGCCGGAGGACUGGAGGAUAACCAACAUCCCUGAGGAGUUCAGAAAGAAUGAGAAGGACGGCUCGCACAACUACAGGGCAAGCAGCCUCACCUCCUUCCCUGGAAAGGUGAGAGAAUGGCUUGUGUGAGAGGUCAUCUGCAAGCAAGAGGAAGUGAAGGGGUUUCUAAGGAACAGCGAUCAACCAGUGUUGGAGUCUUGCAGAUGGGGCUGGAUGUAUUUGGCAGUAGAACAGAAGCAGCACUGUUGUUUGGGAGCACCAGGAGUCCUAUGAAAAGAGGAGUGUUUUCUUCAGUGGGGACACAAGGAUGUCAGCGUGAACAGGACAGGAUUCAUCAUCAGCAGGGGCUUCAGACUAGAGGGUUGCCCUGCAGAAGGGAUGUAUGGAGCUCUCAGCUCAGGUUCAGGGCUGGAGAAUGGAUCUGGAUGCUGAUACAGCAGUGCCUUUGGGGAGUGAGUUCCAUCAAGAACAAGGACCAAACAGUAAAGUGCAUGCCUAAAGUCACGGUCUGACUUGCAGACAACUCUGAAAAGCGAGCCCUCGUGAACCUUAUAAAGUUCAAUGUGGCCAAGCCUGCCCCUUGUGUCAGGGUCUUCCCAGACACAACUACAGACCCAGAGGAAAACUCACUGAGGUCAGCCCUGUGGAAAAAGAUUUGAGGAUUUUAAAAGACUAAAAGCUCUACAUGAGCCAACAGUGCACCCUUACAGCCCAGAGGGCCAAUGGUAUCCUGGGCUGCAUCACAAGUGAGACAGCUCUCAGAAAGAGGGACAAGAUGGUCCCCCUGCGCUCCACCCUGACAGGACCCCAUCUACAAUGCCGUACCCUGGCCUGGGGUUGCCAACACGAGGACUAACACUGAGCCACUGGAGUGGAUCUGCUGCACCUCUCUUAUCAAGAAAUUAGAUGAUUAAAGGAAUUAGAUGUGUUAAUCACAGAAGACAAGGCCUCACUGCAACACUCUAAUGGAGCUUAUAAACAGGAGCAGCACUACUUACAUGGCCUGUGUAAUGCUACAACAUGAUGUUAAGCAAUAAUCAAAGUGUGGCAAAGCCUUAGGCUGAAACAGAGGACAAACUUAAACACUGGAACUGCCACAGAUACAGAAACAAAGGAAAAAAGCUGCUUACCUGCAAAAAGCCUGCCAUAGGCAGACAGCUCCAGAAAGGUGCUCUCACCUCUACUGCCAGCCCUUAAAUGAGGUCUGUAAAGGGCAGAUCCUGGCUCCACCCUUUCCUCUCGCUAGGCUGUAUUGCGUGCACCUGAGCUUCCCUGGGUUGGCCCUGCCUUCCCUCCAGGUGAUCAGUUGCUGGUUCCAGCUGUGACUGAGCAUUUCUGCUACAGUUGAUAGUGACAGGGCUUUAAACUAACAGAGGGGAGAUUUAGGUGAUGUAGUAGGAGGCAGAAAUAUUGUUCUCAGGGUGGGGAGGCACCAGCACAGGAUGCCCAGAGCAGUGGUGAUGGCUCUGUCUCCAGACACGUUUGAGGCCAGGUCAGAUGGGGCUCUGGGCAGCCUGAUCGAGUGAGUGGUGGCCCUGCCCAUGGCAGAGCUAUUUGAACAACAUGAUCCUUUAGGUCCUUUACAACCCGAGCAGUUCUGUGAUAGAAAUAGAUCAACUGAGGCUGAGCCUGUUUUUUUUUUUUUUUUUUUUUUUCCCCCUGGGAAAAUUAAU